rnacentral:pre_miRNA from 1 species
CCUGGAAUUAAGUUGACUGGGUAGCCAUCAAAGCACGGCUUGCAAAUCGCUUUAUAAGUCAGCAACUUGAUUCCAGCAA